rnacentral:lncRNA from 10 species
GUGUUUGACUUCAACCAGAGUUGAAGAUCCCCCAUCUGCAAUACUGCUGCACCCCCACCUCAAGCCCCAGCUGAUUGAACCCCAGGUGGAUUCCUGAUUCAGGCAAUCCACAGGCUGGGCUGAAGCAAUCAUGAUGUCUCUCUAAGGAAUAUUAAUUAAAAGCCACAGAGACCCCAGUCAGUUUUAAGGAGGUGUGCCGCCAGAAACCAGGGUCAGCACCAUACCAAACCAAAGUUAUGGAGGAGUAAAAACCAAAAGUCUUGCAGAAGCAGCAGAUUUGGAGACAAAAAAAGCAGAACCCACAUGCAGAAAGAAAAGAGAGGCACCACGUGACCCUUGAGACAAAGUGACAGACAUUCCAGUGCUGCCAGACAGAUUUCCAGUAUCUGUGAGGUCCUGCUGUGCACCAGAGAAGAGAGUUCUGGGAAAACCCCUGCUAUGGGUUGAACUGUAUUCCCCAAACAUUCAUAUGUUGGAGCCUUAACCUCCAGGACCUUAGAAUGGGACCUUACUUGGAAAUAGAGUCAUUGCAGAUGUAAUUAGUUAAGCUGAGUUCCUACUGGAGUAGGGUGGGCCCCUAAUCCAAUAUAUUGUUGUCCUUAUAAAAAGGGGAAGUCUGGAGAAUAGUUAUCCUUCCAAGAUAAACUAUUUGCCAAAUAUGUAACAGAGUAACCAGCCAUUUCCAUAUGGGAUUUCUAGUCAUUUCCCAGUUAAAAAUUAAGGAAUAGGUACACGCAGUAAGAGCACUCAGUGAAGAUGAGGGCAGAGAUCAAGAUGCCACAUCUACAAACCAAGGAACACCAAAGAUUGCCAGAAACUAUCAGAAGCUAGGGGAAAGGCAUGGAACAGUUACUUCUUCACAGCCGUCAGAAGGAACCAACCCUGUUGACACCCGGACCUCAGACGUGAAGCCUCCAGAACCUGGAUGCUGUAGUGUGCCACUCAGAAUACUUUCAGGACUGAGAUACUCAUUCCUCUAGUAGCCAGGAGCAAAACUACAUGCCCUCCAAAAGUUACCCUUGGAUGAAUGGAGCUGCCUUGACCCUUCCCUAGGGGAAGCCCCUGAAUGUCAGCAUUUCUAGAAAAGACUCAAUCAACUACUUGGCAGCAAUUUGACUUCAUUGGACCCCUUCAACUUUCAAAGAGGUGGUAGCCCUUCUUGACUAAGACCAAAACACAUUCCAAAUAUGGACUGUCUUUCCUGCCCACCAGGUCUUGGCCGGUACCCGUCUACAAGAACUUAAAUAGUAUUUGACCCACUGACAUAAGAAUCCACCUUAACACUGCAUUGGAUGAAGAGACUCAUUUUAGAGCAGAGUGGGUAUAGCAUUGAGCAUAUGACCAUGGGAAUAAUUGUCCCCCAUUACAAAGCACACCACCAGAAAUGUUCAGGCUGAAAGUGCAAUGGGACAGUCUUUGAAGGCAUAGGUAAGACAUCACCUUGAAGAUGCCUGUGAGGAUGAGGCACCAUCAUUGAGGACACAGCAUGUGCCCUAAAGCAAUGACUAUUUCAUGGUCAUGAGUCCCCAGCUACUUAAAACACAUGAACCCUAGAAGUAAAGUGUGGCAGUAGGAGUGGCCCUACUUACGUCACUCCCAUGACCCACUUAGAGAAUUUGUGUGUCUCAUCCCUACAGAUUUGGACUGUGCCAGUGUAGAAGUUCUGGUUCCAAGAGGAUGAAUGUUUUCACAGGGGAAUACAGUAAAUUAUGCCUCUUACCGGUCACUUCAGGAUCCAUGUGCCAAGUAAUCAGAACCAAGGAAAGGGUCACAGUGACAGGUGUAAUUGAUCCUGAACAUCACAAAGAAGUAACUGCUCAUGUCAGCAGGAGGAAGACAUUUGGUUCUGGACUUUGACUUGGGACUCCCCUUGCCAAAUGUUGAUGGUAAAUGGACAAAAGCAACAGCCACAUCCUAAGAAAAGCGUGAUGACCAGGAACUCAAAUCUCUAAGAAAGAAGAGUCUAGGCUGUCCACAAGUAAGCCACCAGACCAGCAGAAGUACUAGCUGAGAGUUAAAACAUCUAGAAUGGAUAACAGAGGAGGGAGAAGUCUUCUCAUUCACCGACUGAAGCCUGCCCUGCAUCCAGAGAGCCCACUUAAAGAGACUCUGCAGCUAAGUUUCAAUUCCCGGGAUGGCAAAAAGACUUACUAUAAAAUUAAUUUUCAAAGACAUAUUUAGAAUCCUCUAUUUUCCUAUUCCAGAUGUAAAUUUUAAGAGAUGGUUUGAAGAAAAGGAUCCUUAAUAACGCAGUGAAAUGAAAGGAAGUUACUGCCAACAAGAGACUGUAGUUCAUGUAAAAUAUGUCCCACAUGGGUGUCCAGGGGAAAAGCUAUAGCAGUACAAGCAGUUAUUCUCCUCCUCUGAAAAGUUAUAAAAACAAAGCCAAACAAAAUAACAACAGCAAAACAGUCCACAAACAAAUCAAUGUC